AUUGAACGCUGGCGGCAGGCUUAACACAUGCAAGUCGAGCGAGUGGCGGACGGGUGAGUAAUGUCUGGGAAUCUGCCUUAUGGAGGGGGAUAACUACUGGAAACUGUAGCUAAUACCGCAUACCAUCGGAUGAGCCCAGAUGGGAUUAGCUAGUUGGUGGGGUAAAGGCUCACCAAGGCGACGAUCUCUAGCUGGUCUGAGAGGAUGACCAGCCACACUGGGACUGAGACACGGCCCAGAGUCCUACGGGAGGCAGCAGUGGGGAAUAUUGCACAAUGGGGGCAACCCUGAUGCAGCCAUGCCGCGUGUAUGAAGAAGGCCUUCGGGUUGUAAAGUACUUUCGGUGGGGAGGCGUUAACCACAGAAGAAGCACCGGCUAACUCCGUGCCAGCAGCCGCGGUAAUUC
rnacentral:rRNA from 1 species